UACGUAGGGGGCGAGCGUUGUCCGGAAUCAUUGGGCGUAAAGAGCGUGUAGGUGGACUGGAAGGUCUGGUGUGAAAGCCCGGGGGCUCAACCCCGGAGGGUCACUGGAAACCAACAGUCUUGAGUCCGGAAGAGGAGAGUGGAAUUCCUGGUGUAGCGGUGGAAUGCGCAGAUAUCAGGAGGAACACCAAUGGCGAAGGCAGCUCUCUGGUACGUGACUGACA
rnacentral:rRNA from 1 species